UGAGCAAUGUGCCCUUGACUCUGGGAUAAGCGCUGGAAACGGCGUCUAAUACCGGAUACGACCAUCGGAGGCAUCUCCUGGUGGUGGAAAGAACUUCGGUCAAGGAUCAGCUCACGGCCUAUCAGCUUGUUGGUGAGGUAAUGGCUCACCAAGGCGACGACGGGUAGCCGGCCUGAGAGGGUGACCGGCCACACUGGGACUGAGACACGGCCCAGACUCCGUAGGGAGG
rnacentral:rRNA from 1 species